rnacentral:rRNA from 1 species
UACGUAGGGGGCGAGCGUUGUCCGGAAUCAUUGGGCGUAAAGCGCGUGUAGGCGGCCCGGUAAGUCCGCUGUGAAAGUCCAGGGCUCAACCCUGGGAUGCCGGUGGAUACUGUCGGGCUCGAGUCCGGAAGAGGCGAGUGGAAUUCCUGGUGUAGCGGUGAAAUGCGCAGAUAUCAGGAGGAACACCAAUGGCGAAGGCAGCACUCUGGGACGUGACUGACGCUGAGACGCGAAAGCGUGGGGAGCAAACAGG